CCUACGGGUGGCUGCAGUGGGGAAUAUUGGACAAUGGGCGAAAGCCUGAUCCAGCCAUGCCGCGUGUGUGAAGAAGGCCUUCGGGUUGUAAAGUACUUUCAGUGGGGAAGAAAGCCUUGGGGCUAAUACCCUCGAGGAAGGACAUCACCCACAGAAGAAGCACCGGCUAACUCCGUGCCAGCAGCCGCGGUAAUACGGAGGGUGCGAGCGUUAAUCGGAAUUACUGGGCGUAAAGCGCGCGUAGGCGGUCUGAUAAGCCGGUUGUGAAAGCCCCGGGCUCAACCUGGGAACGGCAUCCGGAACUGUCAGGCUAGAGUGCAGGAGAGGAAGGUAGAAUUCCCGGUGUAGCGGUGAAAUGCGUAGAGAUCGGGAGGAAUACCAGUGGCGAAGGCGGCCUUCUGGACUGACACUGACGCUGAGGUGCGAAAGCGUGGGUAGCAAACAGGAUUAGAUACCCCUGUAGUC
rnacentral:rRNA from 1 species